rnacentral:misc_RNA from 1 species
GGUAAAAAUCAAAUGACUGUGCAAUACUGCAUCCAACACAAAGGCAGGCAUCCUGGUCAAUGCUAUUCAAAAGAGCAACACUUCAAUGCUGUUAAAAAAAGAGUGGUCUAAUUGCUUCAACAUAAUUUCUAGGUAAGUCAUAUCGUCUACUGUAUUUCACAUCAUAAUUAAUUUGACUUUUUAGGGAGGGUCCACAUGGUCACUGACAUUAAAGGUAAGUGUAUGACGUGCACUCAACAUCAUAUAGCUCAAAAAUAAUCAACACCAUCACACAAUCUUUC